AAAAUUACUCUAAAAUAGUACGAUUUUUUAGUUAAGAUAAUAAUGGAAGGAAAAGAAGAUGAUUUAUCUAAAUCUUUCUUAGUUAUUAGUUUGAAGCAAAGGAAAAGUAGUGAAUGGUGUAUUCGAUGUAGGGGUUGUAGGUCGAGGAAAGAGAUGGUACGAAAGUAGUGAAUGGUCUAUUCGAUGUAGGGGCUGUAGGUCGAGGAAAGAGAUGGUACGCUCCUUGGACGUGGGAACAAAUUAAAAAGGUCCACACAUGCAAUGUCACAUGCAUAUACAUAUUUAGGUACUCCUUAAGAUUUAGUACACAAUGUCACAUGGAUCUACGUCUACCCACCAGCUUUGUACAGAGAGGGAAAAAGAAAACAAACAGAUUUAGUGACGUAUAGAAAAAUAUCAAAAAAGCAUAUGGUAUCACCUUGAUCAGAAGCACCAUAAUGUGGCCAAUCAUUUUCCACUCCCUCAAGAAUGCUUUACAUAUACACUUUAG
rnacentral:lncRNA from 1 species